AUAUAUAUAUAUGUACGUGUGUAUAUGUAUAGGUAUAUGUAUAUUUUAGUUCGAUGUUUGAGAACCCCAAAAACUGAUUUUCUUUCUAGUCGCACUCUCGCUCUCGAUUUCAGUCUUUAGUUUCGCUGUGCGAUUCCUCAAUUGGGUUGUUGUAGAGUCGAUCAUUUCAAUUGAGGCUCCCAACCUUUUCCAAGCCAAUUUAAGUCUUACAGAUGGUGGCUAUGGAUCAGCUUCAUGUUUUGAUCUUUUACAUUUUCUUGCAAAUCUUCACGGCUUGAAGAAGAUGAAGCUGUCUCUUUUCUGGGAAGAGGAUAUAAUUUUUCCAGAAGAUAUAAGAAAUACAUCGUCUCCUCCCUUGCCUAAUUUGAAGCAUCUUGAAGCUUCCUUAAACGAUGAGCACAAGAAAAAUUCAGAACUGCUGGAUUUUUUGGUUUGGUGUGUCCCUUCUGUAGAGACUCUCAAAAUAAAUGGUAAAAUCUUAUUGUAAGUAUUAGGGUCUUUUUAAAAGCUGAUUUUUAUACUUAAAAACUACAUUUGUAAAGGUUGUGCGUUUGUAAAGGUUGUAAUUUUGGAGCUCACUUAAGGAUUGUUUCAUUUUUCUUUAGGUAAUUUCAAUUGGGGUUUACUACCUUCUAGUUUGGCUCA